rnacentral:rRNA from 1 species
CGUGGAGACAGGUGGUGCAUGGCUGUCGUCAGCUCGUGUCGUGAGAUGUUGGGUUAAGUCCCGCAACGAGCGCAACCCUCACCUCUUGUUGCCAUCAGGUCAUGCUGGGCACUCUAGAGGAACUGCCCCGGUCAACGGGGAGGAAGGCGGGGAUGACGUCAAGUCAUCAUGCCCCUUACGUCCUGGGCUACACACGUGCUACAAUGGCCGGCACAAAGGGAUGCCACACCGCGAGGUAGAGCUAAACCCAAAAAGCCGGUCUAAGUUCAGAUUGGAGUCUGCAACUCGACUCCAUGAAGGAAGAAUCGCUAGUAAUCGCGUAUCAGCACGACGCGGUGAAUACGUUCCCGGGCCUUGUACACACCGCCCGUCACACCACGAAAGCCUGCUGUACUCGAAGUCGCUGAG